CCUACGGGAGACAGCAGUGGGGAAUAUUGCACAAUGGGGGAAACCCUGAUGCAGCGACGCCGCGUGAGUGAAGAAGUAAUUCGUUAUGUAAAGCUCUAUCAGCAGGGAAGAAAAUGACGGUACCUGAGUAAGAAGCCCCGGCUAACUACGUGCCAGCAGCCGCGGUAAUACGUAGGGGGCAAGCGUUAUCCGGAUUUACUGGGUGUAAAGGGAGCGUAGACGGCAGUGCAAGUCUGGAGUGAAAGGCGGGGGCUCAACCCCCGGACUGCUCUGGAAACUGUACGGCUUGAGUGCAGGAGAGGUAAGUGGAAGUCCUAGUGUAGCGGUGAAAUGCGUAGAUAUUAGGAGGAACCCCAGUGGCGAAGGCGGCUUACUGGACUGUAACUGACGUUGAGGCUCGAAAGCGUGGGGAGCAAACAGGAUUAGAUACCCGUGUAGUC
rnacentral:rRNA from 1 species